rnacentral:rRNA from 1 species
UGAGCAAUCUGCCCUUCUCAUCGGAAUAAGUGUUGGAAACGACGUCUAAUGCCGAAUACGACCUCCUUUCACAUGAUCGGAGGUGGAAAGCUCCGGCGGAGAAGGAUGAGCUCGCGGCCUAUCAGCUAGUUGGUGUGGGUAACGGCCCACCAAGGCGACGACGGGUAGCCGGCCUGAGAGGGUGACCGGCCACACUGGGACUGAGACACGGCCCAGACCCCCGUACGGGAGGCAGCAGG